AAAGAUAGCCCUUCGAGAGGGGAAAUGGGCAAUGGGAUCCCAUCAGAACUCCGCAGUUAAGCGUGCUUGGGCGAGAGUAGUACUAGGAUGGGUGACCUCCCGGGAAGUCCUCGUGUUGCAUCCC